UACGUAGGGUGCGAGCGUUGUCCGGAAUUACUGGGCGUAAAGAGCUCGUAGGUGGUUUGUCGCGUUGUUCGUGAAAACUCACAACUCAAUUGUGGGCGUGCGGGCGAUACGGGCAGACUGGAGUACUGCAGGGGAGACUGGAAUUCCUGGUGUAGCGGUGGAAUGCGCAGAUAUCAGGAGGAACACCGGCGGCGAAGGCGGGUCUCUGGGCCAUAACUGACGCUGAGGAGCGAAAGCGUGGGGAGCGAACAGG
rnacentral:rRNA from 1 species